rnacentral:rRNA from 1 species
AUUGAACGCUGGCGGCAGGCCUAACACAUGCAAGUCGAACGGUAACAGGAAGACGCUUGCUUCUUUGCUGACGAGUGGCGGACGGGUGAGUAAUGUCUGGGAAACUGCCUGAUGGAGGGGGAUAACUACUGGAAACGGUAGCUAAUACCGCAUAACGUCGCAAGACCAAAGAGGGGGACCUUCGGGCCUCUUGCCAUCGGAUGUGCCCAGAUGGGAUUAGCUAGUAGGUGGGUUAACGGCUCACCUAGGCGACGAUCCCUAGCUGGUCUGAGAGGAUGACCAGCCACACUGGAACUGAGACACGGUCCAGACUCCUACGGGAGGCAGCAGUGGGGAAUAUUGCACAAUGGGCGCAAGCCUGAUGCAGCCAUGCCGCGUGUAUGAAGAAGGCCUUCGGGUUGUAAAGUACUUUCAGCGGGGAGGAAGGGAGUAAAGUUAAUACCUUUGCUCAUUGACGUUACCCGCAGAAGAAGCACCGGCUAACUCCGUG